UGUACAUGUCUAGUGGGAUGAUGUCAUCUGACCUUGACCUCAUUUUCAUGGUUCAGUGGUCAAAAUUAAGUUUUUGAGUUUUGGUCUUUAUCUAUUAAAUACUAUAAGCCAUAGGUCAACUGUAUUUGGUGUAUAGAAAUAUUUUUUGAUCUAUAUGUCAGUGGCACAGGUUUUAUUUGACCUUGAUCUCAUUUUCACGGUUCAUUGAUCAGUGUUUUUGUGAUUUGGUCUAUUUUUCUUAAACUAUAAGUAAUAGGUCAACUAUAAUUGUUGCAUUGAAGCCUUGUUAGCUGUAUAUGUCUGCCUGGCAUGGUUCAUCUGACAUUGACCUCAUUCUCAUGGUUCAUUAGUCUUUAUUUAUUUAUCUUGGUUAAUGUUAAGUUUAUGUGACAGUUGUGAUAAAGCUUUAUACUUAGGACUAUCAACAUAUUAUCAAUGAUUAGUAAAAGAAGGCGAGACAUUUCAGCGUGUGCACUCUUCUUAUUAAACACACAUUAAUAUACAUCAUGUACAUUAAACAGCAAAAAAAAAAUAUUGAUGCAAGAUGCCAUUCAAUAAUAACUUUUACUCUUUUAUGUAUAGGACAAGAACUAUAGAAGAUACAGAGAAAUUAUAAACAGCAGAAAUGAUAGGCAAUUUAAAAUUUGCAGAAGCAAACUAAACCUAAAUGGUAAGGCCACUUUUAUUUAUUUUUUAAAGUUGUUGAACUUGAAAGAUGAUAAUCAUGAUUACUAUAAAAAUUAAAAGAUGUGGUAUAUUAAAUAUGAAAACUAUCAUGGCUUUAAGAAAGCAAUUGUAGGCCUGUGACGACCUUCAAUAAUGAGAAAAUCCAUACCCUAUAGUCAAAGAAGGCAGCUAUAAAAGACCCAAAGAUGAAAAAUUGAAACAAUCCAACAUGUCCAAACUGUAAAACUAAUUGCCUAGUUUAUUACAAAAUAAAUUACAAAAAAUAAAUAUAACCGGUAUGAAACAACAACAACAACCACUAAAUUUUAGUGUCAGACUAAACUUACAAAAACUACAGGCUCUGAACUUUGGACAGGCACAAUAGGAAUAUGGCAACCUAUGAUGUAAAUUUCCUGCAAACACAGACUGGACUAAUGUAAAUCAACUAAUUUUUCGCGACUACUUUAUUUUGCGUUUUAUACUUUCUAGUCUUACAUCACAGCUAAUUAUUUUUCGCAAGGUUCAAGUUUACUUAAUGAAUUUUAAUAAAGAAAGAUACAUAUGAAAAACAUUUAUUGCUGUUUCUCUCUCCAUUUAUAACAUUUUAUUUGUUUAUUUUGUGUAUUUAUAGGUGAUCAGACAUCUUGGUUUUCAUGAUCAAUAGGUCAUUACUGAAGAGGAAACUUAAAGUUGAAAUUUAUUUACAAAGUGCAUAAUUGGAUUAAUUUGAACUGGAAUGUGUGCUUUCCUGCAAAAAAGAAACAGGAAAUUUCAUCAUUAUCACAUGAUAAUGCCAAUAAACAAAAUGGAGUUCUAUCAUAGAUACACAAAAACACUAUUGCAUAAAAGCAACAACAUAUUAUAUAUAUUAUUCGAAAGAAAGGAGAAUGCAGAACAAAGGAACACCAGUUUUAUCCACUCAUUUAUAUCGCUCCCUCAUAUCAAAUAUACGGAAGAAGAUCAUUGAAGAACAAUUUGCAAAAAUGUUUUCUCUUAGAAUUGAAGGAAAAUGUUAUAAAGUGAAUGGAAUAAUGUAUUCACUGAAUUCUUACGUAGUGGAUUGAAAACUGUACACAAGCUGAAACAGAAGAAAAUUUUAAUUUAAAAUAACACGAAAAGUGUAUAUUUUAUUAUUUAAUCUGCAAAUAUAUAAACAAAUUCUUUAGAACACCACAAAUGGUAUGACAUUCAAAUUGGUUGCUUAUUAAUGUAUUGCAUUGAAACAAUUACAAAGAAAACAGAAUCAUUUGCUACAAAUUUUUUUAUAAAUCAUAGUUAAAUUUUAUAAAAAGUAUGAAC
rnacentral:lncRNA from 1 species